rnacentral:misc_RNA from 1 species
CGCCGCUACUUUUAUAUUAGAGCUUGAGUGACAAGUCAAGCUUUUGCAAAUCAUCUCGUUUAGUCUUCAAAUGGUUAACACCAGCAUCCCACCAGAAUCCCCCAAUUCCUUCCUUUGCCGGGGAAAAUUUUCUUGCAGUUUCAAAUCUUGCAACCCCGUUACUAGGAGAUGAUCCCUUAUUUGUUUCCAUAUAAAAACUCUCCGAUGCCAGCCUCCCAACUGCCGGUUGCUGAAUAGGUUGUCUAGACCAUCCAUUUUGCCCAUAAAUAUUUGUAGAACCAAGAGUGGAAGAUGGUAAAAAAGUUGGCUUGUGGAUCAUAGAGUGCACCUGGAUUCCAAGUGAUCUAUUUAAGGAUCCAUGCAAAGGAAGGGAGGCCAUGCUAGUGUAUCGAUUUAGGUGUGAGUUAGGGUGAUGACCAAGACCAAAAGAGCCUGUACUGAUUCUUUGUCCACGUUUAGCUAGUGUUCUUUCUCUCUUGUGAGCAUUUUGGUGACCCCCAAGUGCCUGUGAGCUAUAGAAUUUUCGUUGACAAUAGUUGCAUGAGAAUAUUCGAGGCUCGGUUUCAUUACCUUGAGGAGUAUCCAGGGACGACUUCUGCGAUGACUCCAUGUCAAAAGAAUCGAUGAGAUUGAGUUCUGGCUUGGAAUCUUUGCUAGUGAGGCUUAGAUCCAAUACAAGAUCAUCUUCUUGGUGCUUUUGGUCUCUUUGUUCUUCUUCUUCCAAUUCUUCUCCUCCUAGUUGUUUUACCUCUUUUUGAUUGUCCAUCGAGGCUUUUAGGGAUGGGGUUGGAGGAGCAUUUGAAACUGAGAUGAUGCUUGAAGUUUCAGAGAGGCAUACCUCUGAUCUUGGAGGCUCCAUGUGAUGAAUUAUGAAGAGAGCAUUUCCUCUUUAUGAAGCGAGGAGGGGGGUUGGGUUUA